CGCUCGCGGCCGCUCCCCUCAGUGAGCGCGGGGCAGUGGGACGAGCCCGUUCCUCGCAGCAGUAGCUGCAGCUGCUUCGGGGAGAGUUUCAUCGAGGGCCGAGAGGCAGCGCUGGGCUGGGCUCUGCUCUGCUCCUCCCGGCAGCCGAGGCGCUUUCCCCGCCCCCAAGCCCCGGAGCCGCGCGUGGCCGGGCAGACUAGAAAGACAACUAAAGUUCAUUUAAUGAAGCAAAAGUAAAAAUGGAAAAAGAAACACUGAAUGAUAGUCAAAGUACAGACAGAUGUAGUACUGAAAUCUCACCUGCAGCUUGACUCCUGAUCCUAGAUGAGAUGACUUGUUCCCUGAAUCUUCCCAAGACUUGGAGACAUGGACUGG